UACGGCGGUCAUAGCGGUGGGGAAACGCCCGGUCCCAUUCCGAACCCGGAAGCUAAGCCCACCUGCGCCGAUGGUACUGCCCGGGAAGCUGGGUGGGAGAGUAGGUCACCGCCGGACAUCCUU
rnacentral:rRNA from 1 species